UACGUAGGGGGCAAGCGUUGUCCGGAUUUAUUGGGCGUAAAGCGCGCGUAGGCGGCGCGGUAUGUCGUGCGUGAAAUCUCCCGGCUUAACUGGGAGGGGCCGUGCGAAACUGCCGGGCUUGAGGUCGGAAGGGGAAAGUGGAAUUCCGGGUGUAGUGGUGGAAUACGUAGAUAUCCGGAGGAACACCAGCGACGAAGGCGGCUUUCUGGUCCGAUACUGACGCUGAGGUGCGAAAGCGUGGGGAGCGAUCCGG
rnacentral:rRNA from 1 species